GAUGAACGCUGGCGGCGUGCUUAACACAUGCAAGUCGAACGGAAAGGCUCCUGCUUGCAGGGGUACUCGAGUGGCGAACGGGUGAGUAACACGUGGGUGAUCUGCCCUGCACUUCGGGAUAAGCCUGGGAAACUGGGUCUAAUACCGGAUAGGACGAUGGUUUGGAUGCCAUUGUGGAAAGUUUUUCGGUGUGGGAUGAGCUCGCGGCCUAUCAGCUUGUUGGUGGGGUAAUGGCCUACCAAGGCGUCGACGGGUAGCCGGCCUGAGAGGGUGUACGGCCACAUUGGGACUGAGAUACGGCCCAGACUCCUACGGGAGGCAGCAGUGGGGAAUAUUGCACAAUGGGCGCAAGCCUGAUGCAGCGACGCCGCGUGGGGGAUGACGGCCUUCGGGUUGUAAACUCCUUUCGCUAGGGACGAAGCGCUAGUGACGGUACCUGGAGAAGAAGCACCGGCUAACUACGUG
rnacentral:rRNA from 1 species